CUGCUUUUCUUUAAAAUAACCUUUGCUGCAGCUAUAGUAUGCUCCGGUUUAAUUAUUUUACUUUUGUUCUCAAAAGCAUUCGUCCUGGCUUCUUCUGCUAGCCGAUGGAGAAACAACAAGAAGCUCAAAUGUACCAGCAAGUCGGUGUUAGCUGCCAGGCGUAAGUGAGGCUUGUGCUUCUUAAUGAUCUUCCGUAAAGUGCCGCGGGGCACCGUGCGCCUCAUCGUCUUUCUCCCCCUUCUCCUUCUGCUCCUGCUGCCGUAACAGGGCCCAGCACCGCCCGCCGCC
rnacentral:lncRNA from 1 species